AACGGUCUAUACCUGCGGUACCUGCGGAAGGAUCAUUACACAAUAAUAUAUGAAGGCUGCUCGCGGCUGGAGUAUUUAUUACCCUUGUCUUUUGCGCACUUGUUGUUUCCUGGGCGGGCUCGCCCGCCACCAGGACCACAUACAAACCUUUUUUAUGUAGUUGCAAUCAGCGUCAGUAUAACAAAUGUAAAUCAUUUACAACUUUCAACAAUGGAUCUCU
rnacentral:misc_RNA from 1 species